CCCUCUAAUGGAGAGCAUGACAUCCCAUCAGAGAUACAGCUUACUGGCGAGAGGUGAUGCAGCUCCUUCAAUGGCUUGAAUGCAUUUCAACUCACCUCUCCACUACCAAAUAAAAUCGCAAGAAAUGACGGUAAUUCAGACUUCGGAGGGCUGAAGGAAGGAUGAUAUGCUUCUGGGCAAUGUAUCGUCCAACAUCACUCUCCCUGUGAGAAUUUUCACAUCCACCUGAGAGGGCAGGCCUUCGGUGUAAUGUCUCAUCCAAAAGGGGGGAUUUCCAAUACUGCAGAACUCCCUCAGGACUUCUCCUUUGAUAGUGCCAUACUUUCUCAAUGCUGAACCUCCCAGUAUAGCGGAGUUCAGUAUUGACCCUUCAACAGUGCUGCACUCCCUCAGUACCGACCCUCUGACAGUGCAGCACUCCCUCAGUACCGACCCUCUGACAGUGCAGCACUCCCUCAGUACUGACCCUCUGA